rnacentral:rRNA from 1 species
UACAGAGGGUGCGAGCGUUAAUCGGAAUUACUGGGCGUAAAGCGUGCGUAGACGGUUAUUUAAGUCGGGUGUGAAAGCCCCGGGCUCAACCUGGGAAUUGCAUUCGAGACUGAAUAGCUAGGGUACGGUAGAGGGAAGCGGAAUUUCCGGUGUAGCGGCGAAAUGCGUAGAUAUCGGAAGGAACAUCAGUGGCGAAAGCGGCUUCCUGGACCAGUACCGACGUUCAGGCACGAAAGCGUGGGGAGCAAACAGG